AAUUUGUUUUAUGGAUAAAUCACAUGUUUUUGUCUACUUUUGAACAUUUAAAUUUGAAACUCACAAGUUCAGACAAUUCUUUCUUCAUAAACGGUUUUAGGCAGGUGUAGACUCUUUCAAUCAUUUUACUAUUCCUAAGGAUGUGUAUUUGCCUGACGAACACCGGCAUUCCGUACUGGAAUAAUUUCAGAAAUCUCAUAAACCUCCGGUAAUCGGUCAGCGACCCCCACGGAAAAUGCCGUAUGGUUAAACCUUCAGUGUCCAAAAGCAAGACGUACCCUUGAUAAACGUUUUCCAAGAACAGGCCGACAUCUAUAGCCAUUAGGAACAUUCUUAUGCAAGCAAGGACGUCUAAUUUGGCUGGAUCCGGAUCCCAGAGACCGCAAAGUAGAAUCCUGUACCCUUGGGGUGUCAAUUUUGGUCGUACUUACAAGACUUCCCAUGCUUGUUGAAUGUCUGGGCUCAUAGGAUCUCUGUUAUCGAACAUGUGUUUUGCUUCUUUUUUCUGGUUGAAAUAUUCAAGUACACCGUCGAAAGCCUGGUUGACGUCGUUGUCCCCACCAGCCAAGAAGAUCCGCACAGAAUGAUCUGCAGGGGAUAUUCGCGUUAAACACAUCACAUACCAAAUUUACGAUUAAAAAUAUAUUUCACAUAUG